AGAUGGCUACGUCCAAAGAAGCUGUCUAGUGCAUGAAGAUGAAGAAAUAUAUGAUGAUAUUGCUGAUGAUUUAUAUGACAAUGAUUAGCUCCAGACCUCAUCUUGGCAGUCUUCACCUUUUCUGAUUGGUGGAUAUAAGAGAGAAAGUUAUUAUUCAGACUUAGGAUUUAUGUGUAUGUACAAAAGAUUUGGUUAAGCUAUCCCACCAGUUUCUGGACAGUGAAGCAGGUUUUAUCGCAGAAGCAUGAUAACAUUACACAAAUAUGUUCUUGAUUUGCAACCGUCAGCCAAAUCUUCAAAUUGGAAUGUUAUUAAAUCAAUGUUGGGUGUGGGAUAACUUGACAGCUUAAUAAAUCCCCCAACACAAUCCAAAAUAUUCUAUUUAGCAUGCUACAGAUUAAAUCAACAAUUUGCAUGUACAAUACUCCUUCUCGUAUUCAUACAAUGGGCUUUGGAAAUGUCCCAAUGUGCCCACAGAUGUGAUACCUGACCUUCAUCUGUUCUAUGUUAUUUUUACCUACUCAUACCACAGAACCAUGGAAUUGGAAGCAGCCAGCUAAUUCAACCUGCUAUUGAACUGAGUUAUAGGAAGGCAGAAUCUGCCUAUUGUUUCUCUAUUCUUUUAUUUUCUUAUUUUUCUAACUCAGAAAUGGGCAACCAAUAUCUUGCAGUUGUGCCUCUGCAAUUCAGUGGGAAAACAAGCUAAAUUUCAGAGGCAAGGUUUCAACCUGUUUUUUUUUUUAAAUAUUUGGGGUGGUUUUAAGAAUGGAAAUGAAAAGGGUUUAUCUGUAGGAGGAUUUCUGUUCCCAUCUCCAUCCUUAAAAUCUCCCCAAAAGCUGAAGAAUGAGCCAUGCCUUCUUUGGUGAUGCCACAUUAUUGGAUUGCCUCCUGUGGAUCUUUCAAAAAUUGAGAUGUGGCCAUUCAGCCUUCAAACAUUGUUCAUCUCCAUUUGAAAGUUAAGACAAGUAUUCCAUUUUACAUUAGGAUGAUAGAGAGCAGAACCUGGCUUUUUUAAAGCUCAACAUCCCUUCCAGUAUUAGAAGAACAGUAUCAUUUCCCCCCAGUUUUCUCACAGUCCCUCAAAACUGUGAAAGUCCUUUCAAAAUGCUUGUGGUUUUUUUUAAUUCACCUGAGUUUUUCUAAAUCUUUCUUAAAAAGUGACUACCAGUAUCAAAACUGGAAGUAUUCAGUAUCUUUUGGAACGUUGAAUUAAGUAAGUAAAUCAUGAUUCAGUUAUUCACAGGAAAGUGAUCAAUAACUAUGACUACUAUCUACUCAUCUGGCAAUAAUGUGGGGUACUAUGAAUCAUACUUCACCUACAUCUUGAGAGCCACAAAUUCUCUUUCUCAAUCUUACUUGGUCAGUUGUAUUAUAUUCGGUCAGUUACUUGGUCAGUUGUAUUACUUACUUGGUCAGUUGUAUUCUUUGUAGCAUAUUCCCACAGGUGCAGGGUCUGCUUUUUGGAUCAUUGAACGCCACUUUGCAAGGACAGCUGCGUCUCCGGGGUGCAGGCCCACAUAUUGUAUUAGUGUACUGUAUCUAUAUGAAUCUAAUAAAUAAAUAGUUAUCUCCUUCUUCCUCUACCACUAAGAGAAUUGUAUACUUUUAGGACACUUUUAUAUUAGGGAUUUGUGCCAUUUCGGGACCAGCUCUGGAUCUAGUUGGUUUUAUACAUCAUGUAGUUUGGGAAAAUGAGUCAAGGUAUUUCUGAUUCUGCUGUUUUUCUUGAAAUUGUUGAAAAAGUGGCACAGUAUUCUUCCAAUUGCUAAAUCACUACAAACCUAACAGUGAUUCUAUUUUUGCAGUCUGUCUCAGGAAUUCAUGCCAGUCAUAAUGUAUUCCUCUACCCUAUCCGUGAAGAAGUUCAGCAUCCUGUUCCUGGAGCUGGUCUCUUCCUUUAUGUUUAAAAUAUAUUUUAGAACUUUUUUUUUCUUGACUCUCCAAGUCCUGCUCCUACUGGGGAAAGAACCUAACCUCAAAAUUGCCAGCAUUAUGAUCAUUGCACCCCACAUAUGUUUUUAAAAUAUGAUAGAGGAAUGCCAAUAAAACACAUGGGAAACUCUGUGAAAAGUUCAGUGCUUUUGUUUAUGUUUCUAAUAAUCAACAUUCCUUCAUAUAGCUGCCCA